GUUUACCACUUGAGUCUUUUUCAUACAGUUGAUGACUACGUCCAUGAUAAAAAAAUGAUUGUGUUACUAUUUAGUAUGACAAUAACAGAAAUCAUAAUUGCUAUAGCCUAGAAUUUUCACAGUAAUAGAAGAAGUUGAGAGAAUGAGUUGGUAAAAUGCCAAAGAAAAAGCUCUGUUCACUGCUUUUCCAUACAGUAAAUUGAAGUGCAUUCAUCUAUCUGAGAAAACACUGCCAUCUUUUGUAGGGUUCCUCAGCCAAUAUGAAACACUAAUCUUCUGCACAGUAGUGAUAAGCUUGGAAAACACUGAUGUGUUUGUAAUAAGGUUUUUCCAUUGUAAAUAUAUGUUUAAGAAAGACAGACAGAUUGUUAAUGUGUUUGUAUGUGUACAUGCAUGAGUUUGGGUGUCAGAAUAUGCAUUUGCAUGUACCUUUGUUCUUAUAUAUCUUAACCAUAAUGUGUGUGUCUACAGUAUGUAUGUGUGUGUGCUUGUCUGUCUGCACUCUGCGUGUGUUUGUGUGUGAAAUGGGGUAAACCAGGGUUAAAACAAUCUAUUCAGGGUCAGGCUCAAAGUAACCAUGUGAAAAAUUGGAUAUUCAGGACUUCUGACCUUGUGUAUGGACUAGUAAUGACAGGUGAAGAACAGCAGCCCUCCUCUCAGACAGCUCAUAUAAUUAACAGCAGCCCUCCUCUCAGACAGCUCAUAUAAUUAACAGCAGCCCUCCUCUCAGACAGCUCAUAUAAUUAACAGUAGCCCUCCUCUCAGACAACUAUAACAUAGAAUAUUUGCCUUCCUCUAAGAUAGUUGUAAUAAAGACAAUGCUCAUCUUGAAGAGACAUAUCUGUCACCAGGAAUGGCUGAUGAUCUGGUCAUGGAUUAUCAAUGAUUAUUGUCAGAGCUCAUUUUUGUCUUUAAAUAAAUAAUGGCAUAUCUCAAUCAUAAUGUAGAGCAAAUAGCUCCCCCAAAAUGAUCUUAGUAGAAGUUAGUAGACCAUUUUUAUUUAGCCCAAGGGCCUGGGACCUAUGGUGUUAUAAUCUACCGUGUAAGUGUAUCCAAACUAUUGACUGAUACUGUAGCUAAUACACUGUUAGUUAACUAAUCAGAAUAUUAAUCACACAGGGCGUUCUGUCAUCCUUGAGGCUCCUUAAGAUGGAUCAGCGGCUGUUCACACCCAGUUCAUUUACAAACUCCCCAAAGACAUCCCUUUAGCAAGCCAAAACAAGUAACAAAUAGGCUUUUUAAUCACAAUCUUACUCUUUGAUUUUCAUACGCUUAACCCUUAUGAAAAAGAAUAGGGUCUGCUUCCUUGCCUUCCAGUCAUUACAAGGGAAUACAAAUGUUCUCCAGUAAAAGCCCAUUAUAAUCUCCUACAUGAAUAAUUAGCUAAUUAUUAUAAUUACACCAGAACUAUUACUUUAAAUCCAAAGGGGAAGUACAUUUCUUACUGGCUAAUGUGGCAGUUUCUCAGAGAAAGGUAAUGUUUGGAUGUUUUUCUUCUACCUUCAUGACUUGUAUUAAUUAAAGAAAGAUUUAUUCAUAUUAUUCAAAAACAUGAAAUUAACUUCUAUGAGUAGCAAUACUGUAAUAAAAUGGAAAUUGUUCCCAAUUCCCAAAACUGUUUCAAGAC
ensembl:lncRNA